rnacentral:rRNA from 1 species
GGUUAAGCGACUAAGCGUACACGGUGGAUGCCCUGGCAGUCAGAGGCGAUGAAGGACGUGCUAAUCUGCGAUAAGCGCCGGUAAGGUGAUAUGAACCGUUAUAACCGGCGAUUUCCGAAUGGGGAAACCCAGUGUGACUCGUCACACUAUCAUUAACUGAAUCCAUAGGUUAAUGAGGCGAACCGGGGGAACUGAAACAUCUAAGUACCCCGAGGAAAAGAAAUCAACC